UACGUAGGGGGCAAGCGUUGUCCGGAAUCAUUGGGCGUAAAGAGCGUGUAGGCGGUCCGAUAAGUCGGUUGUGAAAGUCAAGGUCUCAACCCUUGAAUGCCGACCGAUACUGUCGGGCUAGAGUCCGGAAGAGGCGAGUGGAAUUCCUGGUGUAGCGGUGAAAUGCGCAGAUAUCAGGAGGAACACCAAUGGCGAAGGCAGCUCGCUGGGACGUGACUGACGCUGAGACGCGAAAGCGUGGGGAGCAAACAGG
rnacentral:rRNA from 1 species